AUUGAACGCUGGCGGCAGGCCUAACACAUGCAAGUCGAACGAGUGGCGGACAGGUGAGUAAUGUAUGGGAAACUGCCUGAUGGAGGGGGCUAACUACUGGAAACGGUAGCUAAUACCGCAUACCAUCCGAUGGGCCCAGAUGGGAUUAGCUUGUUGGGUGGGUAACGGCUCACCAAGGCGACGAUCCCUAGCGUGUCCGAUAGGAUGACCAGCCACACUGGAACUGAGAAACGGUCCAGACUCCUACGGGAGGCAGCAGUGGGGAAUAUUGGACAAUGGGCGCAAGCCUGAUUCAGCCAUGCCGCGUGUAUGAAGAAGGCCUUCGGGUUGUAAAGUACUUUCAGCGGGGAGGCGUUACCCGCAGAAGAAGCACCGGCUAACUCCGUGCCAGCCGCCGCGGUAAUAC
rnacentral:rRNA from 1 species